rnacentral:lncRNA from 1 species
UUUAUUAUUAGUAUGCAGCAGCUGUUGUUCCUGAUUAAUAAAAGCUUGAUUUUCUCACUGUUCUUCCUCGGAAGAACAAAAGUGUGGUACGCAACUUGUAAGGGUUUGAAGAAUCAUCAUCCAUAAAAGAUUCCACAACAUGCUUAUAAGGGGCAACAACGUCUUUUUGUAAACUUGCCAUACUUCUGGGAAAACGGGCAAAAUCUGCAACAAUUAGAAUAGAUGCAUUCACUUCUUCCCGAAGAAAUCUGAAAGCGUUGGGAUGGUGCAUGGGAAUCACAUGAUCUCUUCCAGAAGUCCUUUGCCAAUAUUUAGAUUUCCUCAAGAUUUCAAGGAUGUCAACCUGUAAUUUCAUAUAUAUGUUGUUAGGUAUUCAUACAGGGUGAUCACAUGCAUAAAUAAGAUACAUCUAAUAUCUAAGCCGUAUGUGUCAUAAGCAAUCCUAGAAGUUAAAUCCUUCUAAUCCAUAACCGAGGGUCUUUUGUUCUUUAUAAUUACAGAUGUUCA